GUGGUAUUGACAGAGUUGGUAAUGUACCUGACUGCUAAUCAGAGGUCAUCGUUUAUUCGAUGCGGAUGUUCGAUUCAUUCAUAUCACG
rnacentral:tRNA from 2 species